UACGGGGGGGGCAAGCGUUGUUCGGAAUUACUGGGCGUAAAGGGCUCGUAGGCGGCCAACUAAGUCAGACGUGAAAUCCCUCGGCUUAACCGGGGAACUGCAUCUGAUACUGGAUGGCUUGAGUUCGGGAGAGGGAUGCGGAAUUCCAGGUGUAGCGGUGAAAUGCGUAGAUAUCUGGAGGAACACCGGUGGCGAAGGCGGUCUCCUGGGGCACUCUUGACGCUGAGGCGCGAAAGCUGGGGGAGCGAACGGG
rnacentral:rRNA from 1 species